rnacentral:rRNA from 1 species
UACGUAGGUGGCAAGCGUUGUCCGGAUUUAUUGGGUUUAAAGGGUGCGUAGGCGGUUCUCUAAGUCAGUUGUGAAAUACUUCAGCUUAACUGGAGAGGUGCAAUUGAUACUGGAGAACUUGAGUACUGAUGAGGUAGGCGGAAUGGACGGUGUAGCGGUGAAAUGCUUAGAUAUCGUCCAGAACACCGAUAGCGAAGGCAGCUUACUAAGGAGUAACUGACGCUGAGGCACGAAAAGUGUGGGGAUCAAACAGG